GGCUCAGGAUGAACGCUAGCUACAGGCUUAACACAUGCAAGUCGAGGGGCAGCAUUUCAGUUUGCUUGCAAACUGGAGAUGGCGACCGGCGCACGGGUGAGUAACACGUAUCCAACCUGCCGAUAACUCGGGGAUAGCCUUUCAAAAGAAAGAUUAAUACCCGAUGGUAUAAUCAGACCGCAUGGUCUUGUUAUUAAAGAAUUUCGGUUAUCGAUGGGGAUGCGUUCCAUUAGGCAGUUGGUGAGGUAACGGCUCACCAAACCUUCGAUGGAUAGGGGUUCUGAGAGGAAGGUCCCCCACAUUGGAACUGAGACACGGUCCAAACUCCUACGGGAGGCAGCAGUGAGGAAUAUUGGUCAAUGGGCGCAGGCCUGAACCAGCCAAGUAGCGUGAAGGAUGACUGCCCUAUGGGUUGUAAACUUCUUUUAUAUGGGAAUAAAGUUUUCCACGUGUGGAAUUUUGUAUGUACCAUAUGAAUAAGGAUCGGCUAACUCCGUGCCAGCAGCCGCGGUAAUACGGAGGAUCCGAGCGUUAUCCGGAUUUAUUGGGUUUAAAGGGAGCGUAGGUGGACAGUUAAGUCAGUUGUGAAAGUUUGCGGCUCAACCGUAAAAUUGCAGUUGAUACUGGCUGUCUUGAGUACAGUAGAGGUGGGCGGAAUUCGUGGUGUAGCGGUGAAAUGCUUAGAUAUCACGAAGGACUCCGAUUGCGAAGGCAGCUCACUGGACUGCAACUGACACUGAUGCUCGAAAGUGUGGGUAUCAAACAGGAUUAGAUACCCUGGUAGUCCACACAGUAAACGAUGAAUACUCGCUGUUUGCGAUAUACAGUAAGCGGCCAAGCGAAAGCAUUAAGUAUUCCACCUGGGGAGUACGCCGGCAACGGUGAAACUCAAAGGAAUUGACGGGGGCCCGCACAAGCGGAGGAACAUGUGGUUUAAUUCGAUGAUACGCGAGGAACCUUACCCGGGCUUAAAUUGCAUUUGAAUAUAUUGGAAACAGUAUAGUCGUAAGACAAAUGUGAAGGUGCUGCAUGGUUGUCGUCAGCUCGUGCCGUGAGGUGUCGGCUUAAGUGCCAUAACGAGCGCAACCCUUAUCUUUAGUUACUAACAGGUCAUGCUGAGGACUCUAGAGAGACUGCCGUCGUAAGAUGUGAGGAAGGUGGGGAUGACGUCAAAUCAGCACGGCCCUUACGUCCGGGGCUACACACGUGUUACAAUGGGGGGUACAGAAGGCAGCUACCUGGUGACAGGAUGCUAAUCCCAAAAGCCUCUCUCAGUUCGGAUCGAAGUCUGCAACCCGACUUCGUGAAGCUGGAUUCGCUAGUAAUCGCGCAUCAGCCAUGGCGCGGUGAAUACGUUCCCGGGCCUUGUACACACCGCCCGUCAAGCCAUGAAAGCACGGGGGUACCUGAAGUACGUAACCGCAAGGAGCGUCCUAGGGUAAAACUGGUAAU
rnacentral:rRNA from 1 species